AUGAACCGCAAGGCCACCCUAAGGGCGGCGGUGGGUCGCCGGACUCGCCGCUCCGGCGACCCUUUGGUCAGCCAAGAGCGGCUACGGUUCAGGGGCGACGGCGCGUGUCGGUCCUCGGUGGCUGGCGACGCGGGGGUUGCCGGAACCCACGACGACCACGACGUGCAGAUGUGGCUGAAACCGGGCACGGGUGAGCGCAGGCCUCUGCGAGCGGGAGAGGGCAGCGCAGGCGCGCGGCUGGGCGAGCCAGCGCGUGUAGGACGCGGCGGCCAGGGGGGAAGUGAGGCGGAGGCCGCGUGGGGCGAAGUGGCUACCGGCGGCAGCAGGAGGCAGCGGCGAGCGGCUGUGGUGGCGCGAGGCACAGCAGCAGUGGGGCGAGGCCGCGGGAGAAGCGCGCUGGUGGGUGCGGUCGACAGGGGAUGGCGACGUACGGCGUCGGGACGGGGGAAGCGGAGCAGUGGGGCGGCGGGAGCGCAGAGCGUGGCCGGGUGGCUAGCCGAGGCGCGGGCGGAGCGCGACGCCAGGCAGCGGAGGAGACAACAACUGCGACAAGAUAAGGGGAUGAGGAAGAGGGCAGUGGCUCACUGCCGUUGCAGGGAAGGCCUGGGGAAGAUGGUGAUGCAGUGGAGGCGGCGGGAUCAACGGCGGCAUCCAGCGGGUCCGAGGAAGAGGAUGACGGAGAUCCGGCGAUGCAGCGUCGCCCGGCUUGCGCUAGUAGAGGACGAAGGCGAAGGCGUCGGUUCUUCCAUGGCGGGGCGGGGCGCGUCGGGCGUGGUCGGCUCCGUUAAAAAGUGUGCGGGCCCGGGCUGUCAGUGGGCGGGGGUUAGGCCCUGGUUAGUGGCUAACCCGGCAGGGCCCACUUGGCAGUGGCCCGCGCAAGGGCUCGCCGGCGAUGGAUAUAGAGGGCGGCGGUGGGUCGCCGGACUCGCCGCUUCAGUGACCCUUUGGUCAGCCGAGAGCGGCUACGGUUCAGGGGCGACGGCGCGCGUCGGUCCGCGGUGGCUGGCGACGCGGGGGUUGCCGGGACCCACGAGGACGACGGCAUGCAGACGUGGCCGAAACCGGGCACGGGCGAGCGCAGGUCUCUACGAGCGGGAGAGGGCGGCGCAGGCGCACGGCUGGGCGAGCCAGCGCGAGGUGGACGCGGCGGCCAGGGGGGAAGUGAGGCGGAGGCCGCGUGGGGCGAAGCGGCUACCGGCGGCAGCAGGAGGCAGCGGCGAGCGGCUGCGGUGGCGCGAGGCACAGCAGCAGUGGGCGAGGCCGCGGGAGAAGCGCGCGGGCGGGUGCGGUCCACAGGGGACGGCGACGUAUGGCGUCGGGACGGGGGAAUUCGAGGGGGAAGCGGAGCAGUGGGGCAGCGGGAGCGCAGAGCGCGGCCGGGUGGCUGGCGCAGGGCUAGCGCGGGCGGAGCGCGACGCUAGGGAGCGGAGGAGACAGCAACUGCGACAAGCUAAGGGGAUGAGGAAGAGGGCAGUGGCUCACUGCCGUUGCAGGGAAGGCCCGGGGAAGAUGGUGAUGCAGUGGAGGCGACGGGAUCAUUGGCGGCAUCCAGCGGGUCCGAGGAAGAGGAUGACGGAGAUCCGGCGAUGCAACGUCGCCCGGCUUGCGCUAGUAGAGGACGAAGGCGAAGGCGUCGGUUCUUCCACGGCGGGGCGGGGCGCGUCGGGCGUGGUCGGCUCCGGCAUCCGAGGCGGAGCCAAGGGUGCAACUGGGUCAGGAAGAGGAAUAAAAGAGGUCCUGCUAGUGGUGGAUGAAGGGGUGACCAUUUCAGUUAACACAGUCCAUCUUGGCAUCAUCGCGACAAGCCUUUUCAGGAACAUGACUAUUUGUAGCGCUCUGAUGAACACUGUUGGAAGAAUCAUAAGCAGGAGCAUCGAACAGGGUGCUGCAACAGCAUGUUAUGUGGCGAUGCACCCUCAAGUCCAAGGGAUAACUGGUAAAUACUUGGGCAAUUGUAACAUAGCAAGCCCAAGCUCGCAAGCUGUAGAUGCAGAGUUGGCCAAGAAGUUGUGGAACUUCAGCUUGCAGAUAAAGUCUUUGACCAACCGUCUCCACCUCUACUUCAACUUCGACGUCGGCAGCACCACUGGGAGUGCCGCAAAGGACCUAGCAGCGCGUGAGCCACCAUGGGCAGUACAGUUUUGUAGCACAGCAGAACUUCUAAGUUCAGUGCCAUUUUCAAGCACUUUCCCGGUACCUUCCAUUCCCGAGUUGUCCUCUUACUUUCCCAAGUGCGCUGAUGUCGAGGCUCCAAUGAGCGCCCCUGGCAUGGACUUAGUGGCACCUUCCUCCGGAACAAUGGUGUAG
rnacentral:rRNA from 1 species